rnacentral:misc_RNA from 1 species
GCACAAUGGUGGCUGAUGUAUAAAUAGUCAUUACAGAGACAAUCCACCAAGCCAUUAACAGAGCCACUUGUUGGACAAAAGAAGAACAGGGAAGAAGAAAACUUACCAAAUUGGUAUUUUCCAAAGAGUUAAUACCAAUUUGCGAUAACCCAACAAAAAGAAAAACUAAGGCUGGUGGAGCAAAGAACUGCAAAGCAGACACACAGAAGUAGUGAUUGUGC